rnacentral:rRNA from 1 species
AUUGAACGCUGGCGGCAGGCCUAACACAUGCAAGUCGAGCGAGCGGCGGACGGGUGAGUAAUGUAUGGGGACUGCCCGAUAGAGGGGGAUAACUACAGGAAACGGUGGCUAAUACCGCAUACUGUAGGAUAACCAAUAUGGGAUUAGCUAGUAGGUAAGGUAAUGGCUUACCUAGGCGACGAUCCCUAGCUGGUCUGAGAGGAUGAUCAGCCACACUGGGACUGAGACACGGCCCAGGCUCCUCGGGUGGCAGCAGUGGGGAAUAUUGCACAAUGGGCGCAAGCCUUAUUCCGCCAUGCCGCGUGUAUGACGAAGGCCCUAGGGUUGUAAAGUAUUUUCAGUCGGGAGGCGUUACCGACAGAAGAAGCACCGGCUAACUCCGUGCCAGCAGCCGCGGUAAUUC